rnacentral:rRNA from 1 species
ACACGGGGGUUGCGAGCGUUGUCCGGAAUUACUAGGCGUAAAGGGCAGGUAGGCGGAACCAUAAGUUUUUUGUCAAAGGCAACGGCUCACCCGUUGUAUGGCGGGAGAUACUGUGGUUCUGGAAUGCGGUUGGGGAAGACAGAAUUCCUGGUGUAGCGGUGGAAUGCGCAGAGAUCAGGAGGAAUACCGAAGGCGAAGGCAGUCUUCUAAGCCGUCAUUGACGCUAAACUGCGAAGGUGUGGGUAUCAAACAGGAUUAGAUACCCUGGUAGUCCACACAGCAAACGAUAAUCACUAGGUGUCGGGUUCGUAGAGGAUUCGGUGCCGAAGCUAACGCGAUAAGUGAUUCGCCUGGGGAGUACGAUCGCAAGGUUGAA